AAAUCUCAAGUUUUUCAUGGAACUUGCUAAGUUCAGUCUAAAAUACAUAUGUAAAAGCAACAAUUGAUUUUGAUGCACUAGAUACCAGAUUUACUAUAAAACUCAUAAUUAAAGAUACUAUGGAAUUUAUUAGCACAGGGACAGCUAACCAACUGAAUAUCUAGAAAGCCCAAAACCAGAUUCAUACACAUAGAUAUGCAAGUUGCAUGUGGCUAUACAGGCUCUGCAUUGCACAACUUUUAGGGGUGUCUGUAUCACCUCAUUCUUAGUCAUCAUUUGUCAAAUCUUUUAAUGUUUUCCCUCAUAUCACUGCUAUAGUCUAAAUUUUUGUGUUUCUCCAAAGUUCAUAUGCCUAAACGCUGAAAGAAGGGAGGAAGCAUACCAUGUGGCCACCUAAUGAUAGAACAUAUAAGGUAAAUGCACCAAUCAGUGCUCUGUGUCUAGCUAAUCUAGCGGGGACUUGAAGAAAGUUGUGUCUAGCUAAAGGAUUGUAAAUGCACCAGUCAGCACCCUGUGUCUAGCUCAAGGUUUGUAAACGCACCAAUCAGUGCUCUGUGUCUAG
rnacentral:lncRNA from 1 species